UAAGUAUAUAUAUAUAUAUAUAAUGUGCAUCUCUAGCAAAACAUUUUAUUUAAAAACCCUAAUUACCAAGAUUUUGUGGUCUCCAAUUACUGUUUACCCAACUUAAUUGUUAAAGGGGGCAAAAUAACAAAGAGAAGCAAGAACAGAAACAAUUCAUUUUUAUGUGAGCAAUACAUGAGAUCUGCAAUUCAAAUUAAAAAAAAAAAAAAGGAGGCAUAAAUCUGCAGGUUCUUUUGCACUGUUUAUUCAAUCAGAAUCAGAGUCUGGAUCCACAGAUGAUCUUACAGUCUUGCGUCUGCUUUCAGGAUAAUCAUCCUCUUCAUUGUCUUCCUUCUCACUAAUUAUACCUUUCUUCAUCAGAAGAAUCUCGAGUGAUUUUGUGGUGAAAUCAUCUUUUCCUCCCAAAUCUUGAAAUCCAAUCAGCCUAUCAAUUGCAACCCCUUUCCUAAAGCAAAAAUUGGAAGUCCCAAUUAAUAAUAUUUGAUAAACAAUGUUAAUUUCUAAAUUCAAUAGUGAUGCAAAAUCUGAAUAUCCUAGAGAAAAAAUAGAAAUUUCAUCAUAUUUGAUAAACAAUGUACAUUUCUAAAUUUGAUACUGAUGCAAAAUCUCAAUAUAAGACCACAACAACAAGAUGCAUAUGCAGAGCUUGAGGCCUAUUAGACGUGGACUCAGCUAAUUAUUCAUUAUAGCUUAGUAUGGGAUAACUCCCCAAUAUGCCACAUUUACUUGUCCUCAUUGCUUAGCAUAUAAGCAGAAUAGUGAACCCUAUAAUCAUAAACAUUAUCAUUUAAGGUUUCAAUUUUUCUAUUCUCCUCCUGUACCUGGGGAAAUUAGAAAAAAAAAAAAAGUUGGCAUGCAUUUUAAAAUAGUAACCAAGAUGAGCUGUAGUGAUAAAGAUUGCCAGACCUGAACAGUAUGACACAAGGUAAAGUUUUGACUCCAAGCUUGGUAACAAAGAAGGGUGCAUUCUGCAGUUCAUUUACAAUUGUUAGCAAAACAUAAGCAAGACAUUUAAAAAAUCAUAUAUUUGAAUAGCGAAAACCAAAAUUUGAGUUCAGCAGCCAGAGUAAAGGAUGAAAAAUCAAGCAGUGACCUCUGCGUCCAGCUUGAUGAACUUGGUAUCAAGAUGACUUUGUGCAAGAGCCUUCCAAUGCUUAUCCAUUAUUCUAGAAUAAUUAAUCAACAUGGUCACAAAUCAAAAGAGCAUGCGCAAGUGUGCAAACAUAUACAUGAUAGAGAAUCUAAAGUAAAAGCUAUACUUGCACCGAUAGAACUCCCCAUGGUAGAAGUGGCAAAUAACUUUCUCACUGCCAGUGACUUCACCCAAGAAAUCCCCCUCACUUAUCUCCCUGUACUCCCCAUGUCCCUGUUUCUUUAGGUACUCCCCAUCCCCAUGGCAAAUACUUUACCAAUUUCAGAAAGCUCACACCAGAAGUAAACAUGCAUGUUGUAUAUUAAGGUGUUUUGAACUUAUUACCUUGACAGCUGCAAUCCUGUCUGCGUGCAGUUUUUCAAGCUCAGGAUCCUAAACAUCAAACGGCAUAAACUUCUAAAAAAUAACAAUACUUGCAUGGUAAUGCAGAAACAAUUUAUAUGCAUCAUCAAAACUUACAUCCAUCAACUCAUCGAGGUCAACCUCUUGGUUGAGAGAACUUGAUGUCUGUGAUUUCUCUUGAGCAAUCAAUUCCUGCAACAUCAGAAUGUGAUUUUGAAGUCAAAUGACACCAUAAUGAAUGAUGAAAAUGAAUUAACUUGCUCUUACAUUCUCAUUUGGGUCUACAAAACAAAUUUUAUGUGUUAAAUUAUUAGCGGAUUAAAAAUUUUCCCUUCCUACGGAAUCAGCAAGAUAAUUUCUACCACACUAAUCCUUCUGAACCACAAAGAAUCCAACUAAGAAAAUCACUUAGACCCCUCCUUUCCUUAAUCCAAAAUAGCCGCUUUUUAGUAUUAAAAUUAUUGAAGACCUAUCAAAACGAGAAUGUUUGUCACUUCAUCUACCCCACAAUUAUUCAUGAGCACAAAAACAGAACAGAUGCCAAGCUGCUAAAACAACCGAGAGCUUAAACUAGCAAAGAGAUCUCCCAACCAAAAUUGCAGGCAACCAAACAUCAAAUUCACUUGGCAAUGUUGACAGGUGAGGACCCAGUUUCAGAAACAAAACUUUCUGAUAAUCGCGAGCAGCCGCUGCCAUUACAUUGCCAAAGGCUAGAUUAGACAAAGUUGAUUUAAUUGAAUUUGGAUCCAUUUUCCUCCCUUAAGAUGGAUGCGAUUUGAAACAGUGAAACGGAAGAAGAGAAGUGCACGCCUUAAACUUUCAAAGGGGCUUUUGCAGAGUGAAGGGAAGCAGAAACCUCAAAAUUAAGGACAAGAAUG
rnacentral:misc_RNA from 1 species